CAUGUAUAGAACACGGUCUGAAAUUGUUUGUUUGAUUUUUUUGUCAUUUUACAUUUCACAUUUAAAAAACGCACAGAAAUGGAUUUAUGGAUAUUUGGCAGCUAGUGGGCCAUAUCUCACGUCCAGAGGGACACUCCCCUCAACAGCAACACGAAAAAGGUAACAAAUUAAAACGCCAGCACCAUUCGGCUUAUCAGCAUGCUGAUAAUGCACAUGACUGACCAAACCGCUUAUCUUGAUUAAGUGAUCCCCCUCUCAGGCA